UACGAAGGGGGCUAGCGUUGUUCGGAAUUACUGGGCGUAAAGGGCUCGUAGGCGGCCAACUAAGUCAGACGUGAAAUCCCUCGGCUUAACCGGGGAACUGCAUCUGAUACUGGAUGGCUUGAGUUCGGGAGAGGGAUGCGGAAUUCCAGGUGUAGCGGUGAAAUGCGUAGAUAUCUGGAGGAACACCGGUGGCGAAGGCGGCAUCCUGGACCGACACUGACGCUGAGGGGCGAAAGCGUGGGGAGCAAACAGG
rnacentral:rRNA from 1 species